UACGUAGGUCGCAAGCGUUAUCCGGAUUUACUGGGCGUAAAGCGUCCGCAUCCGGUUUUAUAAGUCUACUUUCAAAUACCAGAGCUCAACUCUGGAAAGGGAGUGGAUACUGUUUAACUAGAGUAAAGUAGAGGUUAGUAGAAUUUCAGGUGGAGGGGUGAAAUCCGUUGAUAUCUGAAGGAAUACCAAAAGCGAAGGCAGCUAACUAUACUUUUACUGACGGUCAUGGACGAAAGCUUGGGUAGCAAACGGG
rnacentral:rRNA from 1 species